rnacentral:rRNA from 1 species
UGGGGAAUAUUGCACAAUGGGCGAAAGCCUGAUGCAGCAACGCCGCGUGAGGGACGACGGCCUUCGGGUUGUAAACCUCUUUUAGCAAGGAAGAAGCGAAAGUGACGGUACUUGCAGAAAAAGCGCCGGCUAACUACGUGCCAGCAGCCGCGGUAAUACGUAGGGCGCAAGCGUUAUCCGGAAUUAUUGGGCGUAAAGAGCUCGUAGGCGGUUUGUCGCGUCUGCUGUGAAAACCCGAGGCUCAACCUCGGGCCUGCAGUGGGUACGGGCAGACUAGAGUGCGGUAGGGGAGAUUGGAACUCCUGGUGUAGCGGUGGAAUGCGCAGAUAUCAGGAAGAACACCGAUGGCGAAGGCAGAUCUCUGGGCCGUAACUGACGCUGAGGAGCGAAAGGGUGGGGAGCAAACAGGCUUAGAUACCCUGGUAGUCCACCCGUAAACGUUGGGAACUAGUUGUGGGGUCCAUUCCACGGAUUCCGUGGACGCAGCUAACGCAUUAAGUUCCCCGCCUGGGGAGUACGGCCGCAAGGCUAAAACU